rnacentral:rRNA from 1 species
UACGUAGGGUGCGAGCGUUAAUCGGAAUUACUGGGCGUAAAGCGUGCGCAGGCGGUUUUGCAAGCCGGAUGUGAAAUCCCCGGGCUUAACCUGGGAAUGGCAUUUGGGACUGCAAGGCUGGAGUGCGGCAGAGGAGACUGGAAUUCCUGGUGUAGCAGUGAAAUGCGUAGAUAUCAGGAGGAACACCGAUGGCGAAGGCAGGUCUCUGGGCAUUAACUGACGCUGAGGAGCGAAAGCAUGGGGAGCGAACAGG